rnacentral:rRNA from 1 species
GACGAACGCUGGCGGCGUGCUUAACACAUGCAAGUCGAACGGAAAGGCCCUGCUUUUGUGGGGUGCUCGAGUGGCGAACGGGUGAGUAACACGUGAGUAACCUGCCCUUGACUGUGGGAUAACUUCAGGAAACUGGGGCUAAUACCGGAUAGGAGCUCCUGCUGCAUGGUGGGGGGUGGAAAGGUUCGGCGGUUGGGGAUGGACUCGCGGCUGAUCAGCUUGUUGGUGGGGGAGUGGCUUACCAAGGCUUUGACGGGUAGCCGGCCUGAGAGGGUGACCGGCCACCUUGGGACUGCGAUACGGCCCAGACUCCUACGGGAGGCAGCAGUGGGGAAUAUUGCACAAUGGGCGGAAGCCUGAUGCAGCAACGCCGCGUGCGGGAUGACGGCCUUCGGGUUGUAAACCGCUUUCGCCUGUGACGAAGCGUGAGUGACGGUAAUGGGUAAAGAAGCACCGGCUAACUACGUG